rnacentral:misc_RNA from 1 species
GAUGAAGAACGUAGCGAAAUGCGAUAAGUAGUGUGAAUUGCAGAAUUCAGUGAAUCAUCGAAUCUUUGAACGCACAUUGCGCCCCUUGGUAUUCCAUGGGGCAUGCCUGUUCGAGCGUCAUUUGUACCCUCAAGCUUUGCUUGGUGUUGGGCGUCUUGUCGUAUUACGACUCGCCUUAAAUACAUUGGCAGCCGGCACUUUGGCCUAGGAGCGCAGCACAUUUUGCGAUCGUAGCCCGUUGUACUGGCGUCCAUCAAGAACAUUUACCACGUUUGACCUCGAAUCAGGUAGGGAUACCCGCUGAACUUAAGCAUAUCAAUAAGCGGAGGA